GGUUAAGCGACUAAGCGUACACGGUGGAUGCCCUGGCAGUCAGAGGCGAUGAAGGACGUGCUAAUCUGCGAUAAGCGUCGGUGAGGUGAUAUGAACCGUUAUAACCGGCGAUUUCCGAAUGGGGAAACCCAGUGUGUUUCGACACACUAUCAUUAACUGAAUCCAUAGGUUAAUGAGGCGAACCGGGGGAACUGAAACAUCUAAGUACCCCGAGGAAAAGAAAUCAACCGAGAUUCCCCCAGUAGCGGCGAGCGAACGGGGAGGAGCCCAGAGCCUGAAUCAGUGUGUGUGUUAGUGGAAGCGUCUGGAAAGGCGCGCGAUACAGGGUGACAGCCCCGUACACAAAAAUGCACAUAUUGUGAGCUCGAUGAGUAGGGCGGGACACGUGGUAUCCUGUCUGAAUAUGGGGGGACCAUCCUCCAAGGCUAAAUACUCCUGACUGACCGAUAGUGAACCAGUACCGUGAGGGAAAGGCGAAAAGAACCCCGGCGAGGGGAGUGAAAAAGAACCUGAAACCGUGUACGUACAAGCAGUGGGAGCCUCUUAAUGGGGUGACUGCGUACCUUUUGUAUAAUGGGUCAGCGACUUAUAUUCUGUAGCAAGGUUAACCGAAUAGGGGAGCCGAAGGGAAACCGAGUCUUAACUGGGCGUUAAGUUGCAGGGUAUAGACCCGAAACCCG
rnacentral:rRNA from 1 species